rnacentral:rRNA from 1 species
GACGAACGCUGGCGGCGUGCUUAACACAUGCAAGUCGAACGAAGAGCGAUGGAAGCUUGCUUCUAUCAAUCUUAGUGGCGCACGGGUGAGUAACGCGUAAUCAACCUGCCCUUCAGAGGGGGACAACAGUUGGAAACGACUGCUAAUACCGCAUACGAUCUAAUCUCGGCAUCGAGGAUAGAUGAAAGGUGGCCUCUACAUGUAAGCUAUCACUGAAGGAGGGGAUUGCGUCUGAUUAGCUAGUUGGAGGGGUAACGGCCCACCAAGGCGAUGAUCAGUAGCCGGUCUGAGAGGAUGAACGGCCACAUUGGGACUGAGACACGGCCCAGACCCCUACGGGAGGCAGCAGUGGGGAAUCUUCCGCAAUGGACGAAAGUCUGACGAAGCAACGCCGCGUGAGUGAUGACGGCCUUCGGGUUGUAAAGCUCUGUUAAUCGGGACGAAAGGCCUUCUUGCGAAUAGUGAGAAGGAUUGACGGUACCGGAAUAGAAAGCCACGGCUAACUACGUG